rnacentral:rRNA from 1 species
CAGCAGCCACGGGAAUACGCAGGUGGCAAGCGUUGUCCGGAAUUAUUGGGCGUAAAGGGCUCGCAGGCGGUUUCUUAAGUCUGAUGUGAAAGCCCCCGGCUCAACCGGGGAGGGUCAUUGGAAACUGGGAAACUUGAGUGCAGAAGAGGAGAGUGGAAUUCCACGUGUAGCGGUGAAAUGCGUAGAGAUGUGGAGGAACACCAGUGGCGAAGGCGACUCUCUGGUCUGUAACUGACGCUGAGGAGCGAAAGCGUGGGGAGCGAACAGGAUUAGAUACCCCGGUAGUCCCUGUCUCUUAUAU